GAUCUGGUGAGUUUAAGGAGAGUAUAUAUUUGUUGUCUUAAGAGGUUAUUUCUAGGAUUUGAACCCAUAAUCUCUGACAUUCACCUUUUAAAUAAGUACUACGAGAAAUAAAUGUAGAAUUAUUGAUUAGGUUAUUAAAUUAGUAAGUCAAAAUGUAUGUUAUGAAUUUACCAGAAAAGAAUUUGAUGACUUUUUUGUGAUUUGGAAUUGCACUUUAAAGGAAAUGCAGAAAUCUACAAAAGAAUUGGACUCAAAGAUGUCUCCAAAAGAAACUCCUAAGAAAGAGAAGCACUAGAUCUUUUUGCAAAGUGAUGGAGUUUGGUUAGAGCAGUUAUUUCUUUUUUUUUGUUUUCUUUAUACUGGAUUCUUAUGAAUGUCUGUUUAUUUUUUAUUAAAAUAGAUUCUUCAUCUAUGUCUGUUGAUAUAAAGUAUGAACUCUUUUAGAUUUC